AGGUAAGUUCCGUCACAUUCUUUUUCUACUAGUUAAAGUCAUGCAGGAAAUGGUCAUAAAGAAACUGGAAAAUGCCACGUAGUAGUGGUUAAUAAUGUUAAUAGACACAGACACAUGAAAAAGAAUAUUGAUGGACGAAAAUUUGUUGAGAACUGGUAAAUUAAGGGAAUCAAGAAACAAAGCCCGUGCAUUUGCCAUGUAUCAUGUUCAAGAGGUGAUCAAGCUAAAUAACAAGGCUGUUUUAUGUACAUUCUCUGGUGAGAUUUUUCAGUAUUCACUUAUGAUCCAACGAUCCACAAUGUGGUGGCCGUGAACAGAGGAGGGUACAGCAGUUGCAUCACUCCAGCGGGUGCAAAAGUUUAUAAAUCAGGAAAAGAUCAGAUAAAAUUAUCAAAGGGACAAAACUUCUUCAUUUGCAAUGUUGCAGGACACUGAAUCUGGGAUGAAGAUUGCUAUUAAUGCUGCUUGAGCCUUCGGCUUAAGGUUAUCUUUCUUGUAAUAUCCCUGUAUUAGUAGAUUGUGCUACAUGUGUUCAUGUGAGGCUAGCGUUUUCUAGAGUGAUGAUGGGACUGGAAAUAAAACCUGGAUGUUUGUUGUCCUGGAAAAAUCUCGAGUGCUGUCAAACCUUGUUUAAGGUGGAGUCGCUAUCGCCAGUGUUAAAGAUUUAAACAGAAAUGUGGGCUACUAGAUAUUAUGGCCUUAUGGGCCUGCCUUGUUCCUUCGUUUUUUUUUAAAAAAAAAAUACUGAUUUGACAUUUGAGAUUGUAAACUAUAUUGUGUUCAAGACAGUUCCGCUUCUAGAAAUGGGUGGCUAGGACAGAGGAGAGAUGGGUUCUAGGAUUUCUUUUUUUUUUUUUAAUUUCAUGGUAAUUUUAACACUGCAAAGCAAUGGAUGUUUAGUCAUUGAUUGAAAUGUAAAAGUAAUUUUAUAAAUAAUUAUACAAUUUUUGUUAAUUUGUUUUAUGCCUGAAUAGAGGAUAUAAAUUGUCACAAGUGGUAAUUUUUCAAAACUAGAUAGGUAAAUAUAAUUUUAAUAAAACUAUAGGAGGUUAGAGAUAAUUUUCCCCAAAAACAAAGAUAAUGAUAUUUGAAUCUUUCAUUGCUUGGUCAAUAAAAACAAAAUAUCAUAUCAAAAAUUAUUUCAACGGAAAAAUUUAAAUUAUUAUAAAAAUUCAUGAAUGGUUUUUUAUAAUCUAAACAUUGACUGAAUUAUAGCUAUUAUAAAACAUUAUAAGGAGCUAUGGAUAAACAAAACAUAAAAGGAUCCUAAAAUUUUGAGUUAUUUGAAUUAUUUUAGAUCUAGAGUAACCCGAUAUUCCAACAUUUAAUUUUUCCGCAGACAUCGAUUAUUUAACCUUUAAACACAUUAUAAAGAUUUAAAAAAAAAAAGGCUAAGAAAGAGAAAACAUUGUUCCCGUCUGGUAAAUUAUAUCUGGGCUAACAAUGUUUUCUUCAUCUCUUUUAAUUUUUUUUUUAUUAAUAUAGUAAUUUUUCCAUUGUACGUCUUUUCUACUACAUAAUUAAUAUUGGCAUUGGCUUGGUAUUAAUCGGAAGAAGAAUUAGCAACAGGUUAGUCUCUUACCGCUGAAAAGUCAAGCAUUGACUUGGUAUUAAUGAGAAGAAGAAUUAGUAGCAACAGGUUAGUUUCUUACCGCUGAAAAGUCAGGCGAGCGCCUAUAUACACACACACAUAUAUAUACAUUUGUUUCACCAAAACACAAUCUUCACACUUCUCCCUCAUCAUUUCCUCCCUCCAUUUCUUCACCCGCGCCAAAAUUCAAUGAAGACAAUAGUCAUGGAGAGAGAACAAGAAGAGAUGCAAUUUCUUGGGGUCUUUGGCAUAUACAAAGAAGCCUACAAGAUUAUCUUCUCAUGGAAAAAGAUCUUCAGUCAGAUAACUCUUGCCUUGAUUCUUCCCCUAACGCUCAUCUCCCUAGCUCAAAUCGAGGUAUCCAAUGUCCUCUCUGGAAAGGUUAUCAAUAACAAAGCAGAGUUACUUGGGACAGAAGCUGGCACGAAGAGAUACAAUAAACUAUCCCAUCAUAUCUCCUCGGAAUUAGCCUAUUUUUGGCUCUUCGAAGUUGCAUAUCUCAUCCUUAGUCUUAUUUUCUCUCUUCUUUCAACCGCGGCUGUUGUUAACACCAUAGCUAGUAUCUAUACUGACCGAGAAGUGAGUUUCAAGAAGGUUAUGAGUGUUGUCCCCAAGGUUUGGAAGAGGCUGAUGGUCACCUUUCUGUCUAUCUUUGUAGCUUUUUUCGCAUACAGUGUAGUUGCUAUCCUGGUUUCUUCGUUAGUGUUGAUCAUUGCAAGUUUUGUUUUUAUCGGAUUUCCCUAUCUCAAAGUCUUCUAUUCGUUUGGGAUCGUUCUGUUGGUUUUGUACUUCAUGGGGGUUGUGUAUAUGACCAUAGUUUGGCAAUUGGCUAGCGCCGUGUCUGUGUUGGAGGAGGCUUGUGGGUUUAAACCCAUGACCAAGAGCAGGGCCCUAAUCAAAGGUAAGAUGUGGACUGCUAGAAUUAUAUUUUUCAUGCUGUAUUUAUCUUAUGGAGUAAUAUGCAUGGCAUUCCAGAAUCUAGUUGUUCAUGGGGUGUCGAUGAACACGGCGACAAGAGUAUUAUUUGGGGUAAUUUGCUUACCGUUGUUUCUUGGUUUGUUUUUGUUUGGACUUGUUAUCCAAACAGUGAUCUAUUUUGUUUGCAAAUCGAACCACCAUGAAAAAAUUGAAAAGUCAGCUCUGUCGGAUCACCUUGAUGUUUAUCAUGGAGAGUAUGUGCCAUUGAAUUCCAAGGAUGUCCAGUUUGAGCAAUCUUAUGUUUGAAUUUGUACGAGGUAGAGUAAUAAUACUUUGAUAUUGUAUCAAAAUAUGACAUUGUUUUCAUAAAUCAGUUCUGUCAUCUGUAAUUUUAAUUUGUUGAAUCAGUGUCAUCUGUAAUUCUAAAAAAUUACUACUUUUCUUCUCUCAAUCAAUAUAUAUCUUUAUCGAUUAAUUGCCGUAAGAAAAUUAAAAGUCCUCGGCAGCUUUAUGUGCUGUCCAAAAGGCCUCGUAGAGCGGAGAAAAUUGAAAUUACAAGUGGGCUUGUGCUCUGAAACUUCCAAGUAAUAAAUCCCACUAUUUCAACAAAAUCCCAUCAUAUAGCUUCUGGAUCGCCAUCUCGUUAUUCCAUGUUAGAAAUAUAUUGUAUCGGUGCAUAAUGAUAUUUAAUUUAUCAAAAUAUGAAUAUAUAAAUUAUUAAAAAAAGCUUAGAAUGUUUAUAAUUUUAAAUUUAUACACAUGCAAGAAUAAAAUUCAAGAGAAACAUACAUGUUUUUAACACAAAUAUAAUAAAAAUAAAUAUUAGCAUGUAUGUUAAACAUAUAUUCAAACUUGUAAUUGAUAUAAAAACAAAGUUUUAUUUUGCAUAUUAAUAAUAAAAUUAACCAUGCUUAAAUUAAAAUAAAGAAGAGUACUUACUUGUUGAAACACUUUAAAUUAAUGAAUAUUUUGUUGUUAUCAAUGAUGAAAUCAUUUAUUCUUAAGGUUUUAUUGCUCAUUACUUGUACAGCUAAAAUGUUUGCAACAUGCCUCUCAAGAUUUCAAUAACAUUCCUUUGAUUUGGAUACACUUUCAAACUAAGGUUUUAUGAAACAGAGUAAAAUGACUGAAUUAUCUCUUAACAAAAUGAAUCUAAACUUUCAAUAUUUAAAAAGAAAAUUAAAGCAUAAAAAAGAGAAUAAAAACACCAAGAAUGAGUUGAGGAAGAGUUCAUAAAAAUCUAAAAAAAUAUAUUGUAUUAAGAUCUUCCUUCACCUUUUCUUUUUAUAGUGAAUUUUAAAAGCUAAAAAAUUAAAGAAUUAAUUCACAUCAUUCAACCUUUAAUUGGCCACCAUGACUCAAGAAUUAAAUUUAAACAUAAUGAUUAUAAAUCUAAUUUUUUUUAGUGAAAAAACUAUUCAUGUUUAUAUAAAAUGCUUUUGAAAAAUAUUGUUAAUAUUCAUUGGUUGGACUAGACAAGCAAUGGGCUAAAAAGAAUAGUUAUUCAUGAACUAGACCCAUGUCUAAAUUUCAGUUGGUAAAAAAUAAUUUUUUAUGGCUUAAAAUAUUAUUCUACAAUAAAAUCAAGCCCAAAUGGGUUUAAACUCAAAACUCACUUUGACUAAGAUCUCUCAUCUCUUAAAAAUUUUGAGUGACUUUUAGACCAAUUUUAACUUUUUCACCUAUUUAAUUUAUAAACAUUAGAAAAUUUUUGGUUUUUUCAAUGCUAGAUAUAAUUCUAUAAAAAGUUUUGGGUCUUAUCAAAAUAUGCCAACCAAUAAUUAUUUAAGAUCAAAUUCUUAUUUAUCCAUAAUUCAUUUAAAUCAUAUUGAUGUUCUAUGUUAAACUAUAUAUGUUCGAGAUUAAAUUUCAAUAAAUUUUUAACCUAUAAAGUAAAUAAAUUUCACUUUUAAUUUAACCUCAAAUAUACCUAUUAACCAUAUUUUAAUAAAUUUCCCACCACAUAAACAAGGAAAAGCUUAGAUGGGCUUAGAAAAUGCAACCGAGAGCUCGAGGACAAUACAAUGCUAAGGCAGACUGGCCCAGUUUGGACUGCUUUUUCUUUCUUUUUCCAGCCACGGUUGUGUUGGUUCCUAACCCAUUUAAAUGCAAUCGAUAGAGAGCUCGACGACGAAUCACUGGGGUGGAAAUAGUGAGUUUAGCCUAUAAUCAACGCUUGGUAUACUCAUGACUGACAUCUUAAAUUCCCAGUUACUUAUUUAUCUAGAUAUAUUUCUUUCUUCUCCUUCUUCUUCUUUUAAAAAAUGGGUAUUGAAUCAGUAUGAGCAAUCCGACCAAAAGCCAUCACAUAGGAAGCAUCAUCAAUUUGACCAGCUCGCAUCAAGCUCGAUCAAGAAGGGAUUUUUGAUGAUCCAAUCCAAAACAUUAAUCUCAAGAUUCCAAGUUCUAACAGAUAGGAUUAACUACGAAAAUAUCAUCAAUCUGUCAUUUUCAAAGUUGGUUUUACCAAUAUAUUUAACCAAUUUUAUCAUCUACAUUAUCUGCUUACAGUUCCGGUGUUUCCAUCCAAAUUUCAGCUAGAUUAGCUAAUGAGUUUCAAUAAAUGGUAGGAAAAAAUUGGAGCAAAGAAAAUGAAAUAAAAAAAAGGUGUUUUGAGCAUUAAAAAAGAAGGUAAAAAUUAAUGACAAAAAUGAUAGGUUUUUGGUUUUAAAUUCUUCUUAAAAUUGAAAAUAAUAAUGAAACAAUUUCUUUUUUUAAUUGUAGUUACUUUUUAAUAUGAAUUAAAUUUUUUUUUACAAUAUAUAUAUAUAAUUUUUACAAUAUAUAUAAAUUAAUGUCGAGUCUCGUUUUUUAAUUGAUUUGGAUCUAAGAAGCUCAAGAUAAUUAAGAUUAUAACUAACAUGUACAACUAAUAAUUAAGCUAAAUCGCUCCUAAAACAACGAUAGUUCAUAUCACAAUACAAAAACAAGUAAAUAUUUGUUGGUAUCAGAUGAUUAAUUCCAAAGUUUGCAUCGAUAAAGUUUUCAGUUGGAUUUGUUCAAAAAUAGUCAAAGAAUUACAAACAGCACAAAUAGCAAUAUUGUAUCUGUUUAGUCGCCCUUCAGUGUGUCGAAGUUUGAGUGAAUAUUUAUCGUGUAUAGAUUAAUGUUUUUUUUUGUGUUUUAAAAAUAUUUUUAAAAAAAUAUAAUUUUUUUUUAUUUUUUUUAAUUAAUAUUUUUUAGUGUUUUUUAAUCAUUUUGAUGCGCUAAUGUAAAAUAUAAAAAAAUAUAUUAUUUAAUAUAUUUUCGAGUAAAAAUUACUUUAAAAAACAAUCAUAAUCACACUGUUAAACACGUUUUUAACACUGAAAAUAUAACGGCUAUUAUUUUAAAAUAAUUAUAUGUCAUUGAACAGAAAAGGAUGCAGAUCAGGGGAAUGACAUCACAUAAAUUCCAAGUUUUGCUUGGAAAUUAGUUGUGCCUGCAGCUCUAAUUAAUUCUUAAAAUACACAAGUGGAAACCAAAUUUGAUAAGUAAUCAUCAUCCAGCAGCAAUUUUAACUCUCAAAAGGGCCCAUUAAAGAGAAAAAUAAUGUAGAAUUGAUCAAAGGUAUAGCAGUGGUCAAAUCAUACCACCACACAUUCAAUGAGUAGCUAGUAAUCCUAUUGAGAUCCAAACAUAUUGAGUAGCAAUUUCUAUAAAAAAAAUGAAAAGAAAAAAGAAAAGAAACGUAGAUGGACAAAUUCAGAGAACGACUCUUUCAUUACAUAACAGAACCCUCUAAUGCACGGAGAGGGAUGUUUUCCAUGAGGUCCAUGUCAAUAAGCUUUCACUAGACGAUGCCUUGCUUAUCGUCGGCAGGCUUUUGUUGCCUAAUUUCACAAUCCACAGAUUAAUUAGUAAAGAGGGUGAUCUCAAAUACGAUAAGAAAGAAGAGUUAGAAAGUAAUGAUUGGAUUUUUUUAAUAAUAAAAACAUGCCAACUUUAUCGAUCUAAGUUAACUUGGAUUAAUCUAUCAAAUUUUGAUUAAGAAAUCAAAAUAAUUUCUUAGAAAGAAAAAUAAUAAAAAAAAUUAUAAAAUUCAAUUCUCAAUUAACACAAUAUUAAAUGAUGAAGUUGAGAAAAUAAAAGUAUUCAAUUAAAAGGACAAAAAAAAAACUUAAAUUAACCCAGUUAACCUACAAAACUCGCAAAUCAGGUCAUGAGACUAUGGUAACCCUAUUGAAAGCAAAUAAAAAAUAAUUAUAAAGCUCAAUUCUCAAUUCAAUGUUGAAGGAUGAAACUGAGAAAAAAUAAUUAAAAAGGAAAAAAAUGGCAUGAGUUAACUCGGUUAACCUGCAAAACUUGCGUCUCGGGUCAUCAGACUGAGAUAACUCCAUAGAAAAUAAAUCAAAACAAAUUAUGAAAUUCAAUACCUAAUAAAUUCAAUAUUAAAAGAUGAAAUUAAAAAAAAAACUAGGUUUGAAAUUUUUAAAAAAAUCCUUAAAAAUUUUAAGGAUCAAAAUGAAAAGAAAAAAAAUAUCAUUAAACUGUUCAUAAUGCCAAAACCUUUUGUGUGUGAUCAUUGUAAAAAAAAGAAAAAAUCCAUUCCCUACGUCCUUCACGGCAAAGCAACCUUAAAUUUAAGUGGAUGGAGAUGGAGGUACACAGGUCCGUUCACUGUUCACGGGUGGCCAACUGAUCAUACCCGUGAAAUGUUUUUUUAUCACCUUUUUAUUUAGGUUAUGUUUGUUUUCUGGAAAGUGGUUUUUGGGAAAUCACUUUCCAAACUUUCCUGUGUUUGUUUAUCAUUAAGAAAGUUAAUCAACGAAAAACACUUUCCAGUCAAAGGAAAAUUUGGCUUGGUUUUCAGGAAAGUGAUUUCCUGAAAAAUUUGGGCGGAAAACACUUUCCGGAAGUUGUGAAAAAUUUAGAAAAGUCAUAUUAUUUGCUGAUUAAAUCAAAUUUGGUCCUCAAACUUUUGAUUGCUAUAUAUAUUUUGUUUUGAAUAUUUGUUUUUCAAUUUCAUCCCUUAGAAUUUAAUUUUUAUAUUAAUUUUGGUCCUUAUUUUUAUAAUUGUUAUUUGCUUUUCCCUUAUUAUUUUUUAAUUGAAAUUUUUUAUCUAUCAAAUUUGGUCCUCAUUCUUUUGAUUGUUUCUUAUUUUAUUUGAAAUAAUUUAUGAAAUGUUAAUUAUUAUUAUUUUAAUUUCUUCAUCUUUCAAAUUUUUUUAUUUUUUAGAUUUGAUCUCUAUUAUUUUGAUUAUUAUUUAUUUUAUUUGAAAUAAUUUAUGAAAUUAUAUUUUUUUCAAUUUCAUUAUCAUUCAACUUUUUAAUUUGUAAGAUUUGUUCCUUAUUAUUUUAAUAAAAUUGAAAAAAAUAAAACAUUAAUAAUUAAGUUAUUUUCCGGCUCAUUUUCCAUGACAUAACCAAACACUGGAAAAUGUUUUCCAACUUAUUUUCUAUUACAUUACCAAACAUCAAAAAAUAAUUCACUUUUCUAAAAUUCAUUUUUUCAAAAUUUAUUUUUUAAAAAUAAGCUCUUUUUCAACCAAUAAACAGUUUCUUAGAGCAACCACCACGCUACCAUUUCACUGGCCAAAACCUUUUCCACUAGUAGCUGUUCAUGCUAUGUAAUCAAGUGUCCUUAUACAGUCCAAAGGACACCCUUUAUAGUCCACCCAUUUUCAUGUUCUUUAAUGGCAGGUUAUCAUAUCCUCAACACUGAAAGCCCAAGUUGGUGCCUAUAAUGGAGUUGUUGGCGACACCUUUAAUCAAUGCAGAUCUUUUGUAGUCACCGUGUUGUCUUCAUGUUUUGCCAUUUUUCAAAAACAUAUAGGACCCCUCAAAUUCUUUAUUUCAGUAAAUCUCUUAUAAAAGGCUAUGUUUUUUCUUGCUUUGUAUCCUCACAUCAAUCUUCUCACUCAAAACUUCAGCUUUCUUUUUUACAAGCAAUAGUUAAACAUGGUUCAGGGAAGGGGCAGUGCAGAUCUAGUGAUGGUUAAUGUGGCUGCACUCCUGUGCUUAAUGGUUCUCACUGGGCACGUUCACGCAGCAACUUACACGGUCGGCGGCUCUGGUGGUUGGACCCUUAAUAUGGAUAGUUGGCCGAAAGGCAAGCGCUUUAAAGCUGGUGACACCCUAGGUAAGUUCCGUCACAUUCUUUUUCUACUAGUUAAAGUCAUGCAGGAAAUGGUCAUAAAGAAAACUGGAAAAUGCCACGUAGUAGUUGUUAAUAAUGUUAAUAGACACGGACACAUGAAAAAGAAUAUUGAUGGACGAAAAUAUGUUGAGAACUGGUAAAUUAAGGGAAUCAAGAAACAAAGCCUGUGCAUUUGCUAUGUAUCGUGUUCAAGAGGUGAUCAAGCUAAAUAACAAGGCUGUUUUAUGUACAUUCUCUGGUGAGAUUUUUCAGUAUUCACUUAUGAUCCAACAAUCCACAAUGUGGUGGCCGUGAACAGAGGAGGGUACAGCAGUUGCAUCACUCCAGCGGGUGCAAAAGUUUAUAAAUCAGGAAAAGAUCAGAUAAAAUUAUCAAAGGGACAAAACUUCUUCAUUUGCAAUGUUGCAGGACACUGUGAAUCUGGGAUGAAGAUUGCUAUUAAUGCUGCUUGACCUUUGGCUUAAGGUUUUCUUUCUUGUAAUAUCCCUGUAUUAGUAGAUUGUGCUACAUGUGUUCAUGUGAGGCUAGCGUUUUCUAGAGUGAUGAUGGGACUGGAAAUAAAACCUGGAUGUUUGUUGUCCUGGAAAAAUCUCGAGUGCUGUCAAACCUUGUUUAAGGUGGAGCCGCCAUCGCCAGUGUUAAAGAUUUAAUCAGAAAUGUGGGCUACUAGAUAUUAUGGCCUUAUGGGCCUGCCUUGUUCCUUCGUUUUUUUU
rnacentral:lncRNA from 1 species